CAGCCGCCGCGGUAAUACGUAGGGGGCGAGCGUUGUCCGGAAUUAUUGGGCGUAAAGCGCGCGCAGGCGGUCCCUUAAGUCUGAUGUGAAAGCCCACGGCUCAACCGUGGAGGGUCAUUGGAAACUGGGGGACUUGAGUGCAGAAGAGGAGAGCGGAAUUCCACGUGUAGCGGUGAAAUGCGUAGAGAUGUGGAGGAACACCAGUGGCGAAGGCGGCUCUCUGGUCUGUAACUGACGCUGAGGCGCGAAAGCGUGGGGAGCAAACAGGAUUAGAUACCCUGUUAGUCCACGCCGUAAACGAUGAGUGCUAAGUGUUAGAGGGGUUAAACCCUUUAGUGCUGUAGCUAACGCGUUAAGCACUCCGCCUGGGGAGUACGGCCGCAAGGCUGAAACUUAAAGGAAUUGGCGGG
rnacentral:rRNA from 1 species